rnacentral:rRNA from 1 species
AUUGAACGCUGGCGGCAGGCCUAACACAUGCAAGUCGAACGAGGGGCGGACGGGUGAGUAAUGUAUGGGAAACUGCCUGAUGGCGGGGGAUAACUACUGGAAACGGUAGCUAAUACCGCAUACCAUCAGAUGUGCCCAGAUGGGAUUCGCGUGUUGGUGGGGUAACGGCUCACCAAGGCGACGAUCCCUAGCUGGUCUGAGAGGAUGACCAGCCACACUGGAACUGAGACACGUUCCAGACUCAUGCGGGAGGCAGCAGUGGUGCAUAUUGCACAAUGGGCGCAAGCCUGAUGCAGCACUGCCGCGUGUAUGAAGAAGGCCUUCGGGUUGUAAAGUACUUUCAGCGGGGAGGCGUUACCCGCAGAAGAAGCACCGGCUAACUCGGUGCCAGCAGCCGCGGUAAUUC